ensembl:snoRNA U3 Small nucleolar RNA U3
AAGACUAUACUUUCAGGGAUCAUUUCUAUAGUUCUUUACAAAUAUCCAGGCUUCUGUCCACCACCUAUCUUGGGUACGGUCUUUUGUACAGG